CGGCACUACGUUCUACCUAACGAAUUGGAAUACCAUGAAGGCUGUCGUGGCAAUGAAUAUUAUCGCCGUUUGUGCUCUCCUUUUCUUUGGGGCUUUAGCGGUUCCUCUUGCUGAACCUGAAGCUAGAGUCGUACCUUCAGAGGAGGCCUUGUGGGGUGAUCAUGCUUCGCACGAGUCAGAGAGAGGUAUUGGUGGCGGCUGCGCGGCCUCCCUCUGCGGCUAGGCACUGCAAGUCCUGCACCUACGGCAUGAAUGCAAACGAGAAAAAGCUACGCACUUGUCGCGUUUUCGCGGUCAUACAUUCUUA